rnacentral:lncRNA from 1 species
AGCUUUGGAGCUGGGAUUAGAACAGUUCUUCAGACCUCACUGUCCUGGGCUGGUCUCCCAAGAGGAAGUGGGCAGGUCACUGAGGGAGGGAAGCCAUCAAGGCCAUCAGAGCAAAUACAUAGAGGUCAGCUGAAGGUGUCCCAGAGUGCUGGAUUACAGUGUGUGUCUCCAUGCCUGGGGACACACGCUGUAACGUAUGUGGUGCUGGGGACCAAACCCAUGUCUCUGUGCAUCUGAGGUGUUUGAAUCAUCUUCUGGCAGCUAUGGGGUAUGGUCCUUGCCCUCCCACCCCUGUGGAAGACUAAGGAUUUGCCCACCUCUAGUCCCAGAUAAGAAAGAUACACUCUCCCCACCUAGGUGUCAAACCAGCUGUAUGCCCCUUCAAGCCAACCAUGCUCUCCAUCAAGCCCUGGAUGGGAGGACUCUGGGGACGGCUGGCCCAGUUCUCUGGCCCUUUUCCAAGCUGACAAUCCCCAUCAAGACCCCCAAGGGUGGGCAGUAACUUACCUGUGGGGAUUACAGAUGAGCAACCAAGAGCAAGCUUAGGUUUCCCGGUCACUAUGGAUUCUCUGUGUAGAAAUGUGGCUUAUGCAGUGCCACAGGCAAUGUGAACUGCGAAGGCCAGGCUCAAAUGAAUGACCCAAGCUCAAGACCUCUGUGAGUGCCUUGGGUUCAGGCCCGGCCUCUGUGUUCUCUGGGUCUCCAUGUCCCGUUAUGAAACAAAGGCCUCAAUCAAUCUGGGUUUCGGGUGAAUAUGAAGGCUGCUUCUUAGCUGGCUGUCUGGGGCCUCCCUUCUUUGAGCCAGGUUGUGCAAUAACUGCUGUGACCCUAGCUAUAUGGGAGAGCCUCCAGUGCCCAUUGCUGCCCCCUUCCCUAGAGACAGCUCCUAGUCCAGUUGUCUGCAAGUCAUCCCUCACAGAGUCCCAUCCAUAUCUCACCCUGCUCUGACCCUGUGCCUUUAGGCAGGCAACACCUAGCUCCCUGAGACAGGGCUGAAUAGAGGUCAUGGCUUCCUAGCUGCCCCUCUCUUGAGAGCACUGCCCACUAAGCUAUCCUCAUAGGUAUUUCAAUCUCACUUCUGCUUCUAGACUUCUAGGCCCAGAGAAUGGAAAGUCUUUGACACCGAGCUGUUCAGAUUCCUACCCCGCCCCACCACCGCCUGCCUGAACCUCAUGGGGUCUGAGCACAUCCCCUGGGCACUGAGGAAGGAAAACUGAAAGAGGCAGGGGCACCAACCAAGAGAACUGAAGCCUGUGAAGAGGAAGUGAGUGCUGCUCUGACCCUCUAACCCAUCCUUCGGUCAGGCCUGCCUGCAUCAGCAACUCAAGCCAUUGCAGCUGCUCACUUGCAUGCCUCAGCCAUACUUCUCGAGCCUGGCUUGUGAGGACACUGUAGGGACAGGAGCUGCAGCACCAGCAAGCAGAUGCGCUGGUUAUGGCUGCUCUGAUAAGCUUGGUGUCGACAGCAGAAGGAAGGUUGCCUUGCAGAUCCAGCAGCCUGAUCCUGAGAGCUGUGGCCACUGUACUGUCCAGUGUAGACACCAUACCUUCCUUCCACUGCUGUCUAGGAAAGCCUGGGUUGUCUGGGUUCCAGGAAGGGGACAGGACAUGUUUAAACAGGGUGACUUUAGGGUUUGGGAAAGCCCCCUGGCCCAGGCACAGGUGAAGAGAGGGACAGGAGGCAAUAUCAAUUGUCUGGGGGCAGCUUAGCAAUGUGUAAUGAAAUAUGUAACUUUCUGACAACAGGAGUCAGUUGCUUCUGGGAACUGACACUAGGGAAACGAUAGUGAGUUCAUGCAAGGUGUGUGCAUGAGAACACUCUAUCUCCACCUUGUUUAAGGCUGAUACCACUCCGUGAGAGACUGGAACAGUCACACAAUGGAGACUUGUACGCUGCUCACACAGUGGUGGAAUUAUCAAUAAAGCUGCCAAGAAUGUUCUGGCACACGUCCUUCGGCUGACAUAAACUGCCUUUCUCUUGGGUAUAGAUGGAACUGCUGGGUUCAAAGGAUUGUGUAUGUUCAUUUUGAGUGGAUGCUGCAAAACGAUGAUUGCUCCAUUGCGCACACCCACACCCAGUUAAUGAGAGCACCAGUUGCUACAUCCUUGCCAACACUUAGUAUUGUCAACCUGUUUCGUCUCAGCUCUUCUGGUGACUAGGGAGAGGAAUUGCGUUGUGGUUUUAAUCUGCAUUUCUAAAUAUGCG